UGAGGAAUAUUGCGCAAUGGGCGAAAGCCUGACGCAGCGACGCCGCGUGGAGGAUGAAGGUUUUCGGAUUGUAAACUCCUGUUAAGUGGGAAGAAACGACAAAAUAUAAUACAUUUUUGUAACUGACGGUACCAUUAAAGAAAGCACCGGCUAACUUCGUGCCAGCAGCCGCGGUAAUACGAGGGGUGCAAGCGUUAUUCGGAAUUACUGGGCGUAAAGGGUGCGUAGGCGGCGUAUUAAGUCAACUGUUAAAACCUCCAGCCUAACUGGAGAUCAGCAGUAGAUACUGGUAUGCUAGAGGAUGGAAGAGAGAAGUGGAAUUCUUGGAGUAGCGGUGGAAUGCGUAGAUCUCAAGAGGAACACCAAUGGCGAAGGCAGCUUCUUGGUCCAUAUCUGACGCUGAUGCACGAAAGCGUGGGGGAGCAAAACAGGAUUAGAUACCCUGGUAGUCCACGCCGUAAACGAUGAUCACUAGAUGUUAAUUCUGCUUGCAGAAUUAGUGUCGUAGCUAACGCGAUAAGUGAUCCGCCUGGGGGA
rnacentral:rRNA from 1 species